GGGCUCUCCUAAGCUUCUGUCUAGCACUCUGAGAAAUUAAAAUAAUUGAUGCCCACAAAGCAGGAGAAGGCUAUAAGAAGAUAACAAAGUGUUUUCAGCACCCUGCACAGAGAGGAGGCAAUGAGCACCAGGGAGAAAAAGAAGCCUAAUAUUGUCCUGGACUACAAUAGAAACAAAGGGGGAGUCGAAAACCUUGCUAAGCAUCCUAGAUAUGUCAGCCUACAAAUCUUGUGUAGUGUGGACGGAGGUGAAUCCAGGCUGGAAUCAGAAGAAGAGAUUCAAGGAGAGGCUUUUCCUGGAGGAGCUGGGGAAAGCCAUGGUGACGUCUCUUGUUCAAAAGUGCCAACACUUUCCUCAAACACAUCUUCUACCAUAUUGAUGAGAGACACACAAGGCCCAGGACCAAGCUCUACACAGUGAACACGCAAAAGAGGAAAACUGACAAGGAGCACACU